GGUGAACGCUGGCGGCGUGCUUAAGACAUGCAAGUCGAACGCAGUCUUCGGACUGAGUGGCGCACGGGUGAGUAACACGUAACUGACCUACCCCCAAGUCGCGGAUAACUGGCCGAAAGGUCAGCUAAUACGUGAUGUGAUGUCCCCUUUCUGGGGGGCCAUUAAAGGUUUACUGCUUGGGGAUGGGGUUGCGUUCCAUCAGCUAGUUGGCGGGGUAAAGGCCCACCAAGGCAACGACGGAUAGCCGGCCUGAGAGGGUGGCCGGCCACAGGGGCACUGAGACACGCGUCCCACUCCUACGGGAGGCAGCAGUUAGGAAUCGACCACAAUGGGCGAAAGCCUGAUGGAGCGACGCCGCGUGAGGGAUGAAGGUUCUCGGAUCGUAAACCUCUGAAUCAGGGACGAAAGACGCGUAAGCGGGAUGACGGUACCUGAGUAAUAGCACCGACUAACUCCGUGCCAGCCGCCGCGGUAA
rnacentral:rRNA from 1 species